GCAGUCGACGGCAUCGCGGGAAGCCUGCUUUCCUGGCGGCGAGUGGCGAACGGGUGAGUAACACAUCGGAACGUACCGGCUAGUGGGGGAUAACCCGUCGAAAGACGGGCUAAUACCGCAUACGCUCUUCGGAGGAAAGCAGGGGACCUUUGGGCCUUGCGCUAGUCGAGCGGCCGAUGUCCGAUUAGCUAGUUGGUGGGGUAAAGGCCUACCAAGGCGACGAUCGGUAGCGGGUCUGAGAGGACGAUCCGCCACACUGGGACUGAGACACGGCCCAGACUCCUACGGGAGGCAGCAGUGGGGAAUCUUGGACAAUGGGGGCAACCCUGAUCCAGCNNUGCCGCGUGGGUGAAGAAGGCCUUCGGGUUGUAAAGCCCUUUCGGCAGGGAAGAAAUCGGCGGGGCGAAUAACCCUGCUGGAUGACGGUACCUGCAGAAGAAGCACCGGCUAACUACGUGCCAGCAGCCGCGGUAAUACGUAGGGUGCGAGCGUUAAUCGGAUUUACUGGGCGUAAAGCGUGCGCAGGCGGCCCGAUAAGACAGGUGUGAAAUCCCUGGGCUCAACCUAGGAAUUGCGCUUGUGACUGGCGGGCUCGAGUACGGUAGAGGGGGGUGGAAUUCCUGGUGUAGCAGUGAAAUGCGUAGAGAUCAGGAGGAACACCGAUGGCGANNNNNGCCCCCUGGGCCUGUACUGACGCUCAUGCACGAAAGCGUGGGGAGCAAACAGGAUUNNNNNCCCNNNNAGUCNNNNNCCUANNNGAUGGGUACUAGCCNUNNNGUGCGCGAUAGCGCU
rnacentral:rRNA from 1 species